rnacentral:lncRNA from 1 species
UCCUCAAGUAAUGCACAUAACAAGUAAGGCAUGGCAUUUUAUCAAUUAGCUAUUAUCACUUAAUAGUCUCUAAUUAUACCUAAGUCACUUAAGCAAUUAGUCAAGUAACACAUAAGGUCUAAGACCAACACUUCCUAAUUACACUUUAUUGACCUUAACUUAACCAAAUAAGAGUAAGGCACACUUGUGCCCCACCUCACAAGACUCACCAAUGAAAUGCAUCCUAUUUGACGUACUAAAAUGCUUGCCUUGGCAACACUUGUGUGCCUUGGAAAAAAUGAUGCUUCUAUACUAA